GGCCAGUGUGUAUACAUAUAUUUGUUACAAACAACAAUAAUCUUGUGAGUGCAACAAUGGAUGAGUUACGUCGCACGGCUGAACCGAAAAAAGGUUAAAUUUGACGCGCCGACGAACGAAUCGUUCGUUGCAAUGGAAUUCAACCCGAAAAGGAAGGAUUCUCCGUCAAUUCGGCCACUUUUUUUUCGACCAUCUCAGAUCUGCCCCAUAAUUGGUUACAUCAAAGUACUACUAGAAGGAUAAUCCGUCAUAACCGUUGGACGGACGCAAUGUCACAUGCCGCGAGGAUAUCUUCAUGGAAUGGUGAACUAUGUUCAAAUGACAUUAUUUCGCAAUGGAUGUUAGAAACUCCCAUCAACCGGGAGAAGGAAACUGUUUCGCACAACCCGCAGCUUCAUAGUUACCUCGAAUCUCAGAUACUAAUUCCUUGCAUUUAAUAUUUCAGAGGGUAUAAAAAUAAUCC